GCAAGGUUCUUCAUCCCGGGUCGCUCGGCACUGCAGACAAACCUGAAAAUUCAAGAAAUAGUCCAUGGACUGCAUGCAGCUGGUCAGCAAGUGGAACCCAAACUGCGGGUCAUAUAUCUCGCAUUCCUGAGGAAGGCUGUUGUUAGAUAAUUGCCAGCCAUAAACUUUUAAGUGUAGUUUAGAUGAAAAAAAAGAUAAAGAGCUGUUUAGGUAUCCUUUGGAUGUUUGCAUAGGUGCUUUUACAGGAGCUCGGGAAAGGAAAAUAUUCUGAUAAGAAUGAACAAACAGGAAAAUGUGAUUGCAGUCGUCAUACCUCCAGAACUUCCUCAGAGACACAUGAUGUAGCCCAUGCAGGCUAAUCCCAGCCGCUGCAUGGAGGAUGGUCUUUCGUUUCAAGCCUGGGUCAUUUUUCAUGCUGUUUACCCUGACACUUUUAAACAAACGGUUAAUCACAGUAUGGAGGAAUAUAUCGUUUUCAUUACUUUCAAUACAAUGAUUUCUCAGUUUGUGAUAAUCAGUUGCAAUGACUUAAUAUAAGCCACCCACCUAUAUCUUUUAUUUAACUACAGGACAUUUCUGUCAGACAUAGCUAAUAGGUGUUCCUGUAAAUGAAAUUACAUGCAUAGCCUAUAAAAAUCAACAAAAGACUAUAAUUCAUAUAUUACUCCUCAGGUUCAUAUUCUGCCCUGAUAGUAGAAAUUGAUAUCCUUGCUUAAUACAGCAAUUCAAGAGUAAAAUUUAAAUAGAGUAUUUCUAGAUGGAGCUGUAAUAUAGGUAACAAAUACCUAUACAUUGGCCUUUUCAAGGAAUACUGGUAUAGUGGUGCUCAUAAAAUAAUAAUAAUGGAAAUUAUUUAAUUUCUAAUUUUAAAAUUCCACUUAAGUUUUCAGUUACCAGGAAAUAAUAGUCUACUCUUUUUGACCUAUAUUUUUGAAUUAACAUCUUCAUGAAUGGUGUCAUUGAAAACUGAAAAAUCAGGAAAGGAAAUACAGUUUCAUUUAACAGAUGUGAGUUUAGCUGAGAUGUAGCUAGAUCUAAUUUCAGGGACAUCAGAUCUGCAUAAAGCCAGUAAUUUUUUAAAACGGCUGCUCACAUGCUGCCAACAAAAUUUGUGUAUACACUUACUGACUGUACGGAAUCCAGUAUUUGCAUGCAAAAUAUAUUUGCAAAAUUGGUAACUGUGUCUGAGGUCAUAUUUACACAUCUAAAGUAUCCAUUCUGUAUAUGAAGAUUCCUGUUUCCUUAUGUAUAUACUCCCGUGAAACAAGUUCCUUCAAGUAUUACACUGGGAUAGUUUAGGUGUCCUGUUCUUCUACUUACAGAUUAGUUCCUGUAUGUCCUCUGUCUCCUAGGAUGAGUUUUUCAGUUAAGAAAUGCUUCUAAUCUGGAAAGAAGCAAUAAAAUGUUAAAAUCCAAUAUGCUAAAACCAAUUCUUAGCUAUUUUUGUUAUAGGAUGCAAGGACUU